rnacentral:lncRNA from 1 species
CACAAUUUUAUUUCUGUUGUGAACAGAAUCUAUUAUAUUUUAUAAUGGGUUAGCUUUGGUGUGUAGGAAAGAUACUGAUUUUUGAGUGCUGAUCUCCCUUUUGACCACUUUGCUGAAACUACUUUUGAAUUCUAAAAUCUUCUUAGAUUUUCUAGUUAAAUUAUCAUAUCAUCUGCAAAAAAUGAUAGUUUUAUUUCUUCCUUUCUAAUGCUUUUAUUGCAUUUCUUUUUCUUAUCUUAUUGCACUUGCAAUACUAUUUUCAUGAUUUUGGUCAACUCUUCACACUAUUUAAACUAGGAAGUGAGAUGUCUGAAGAAUGUCAGGAGGAUACAGACUUACUGCUAUUUCGGGGUACUUCUUAGGAGUAGUUAUUUUUGCCAUGAGAAAUGGUUUUGUGAUUAGAGGGAAGUACAGGGGGCCAGCUUCCAAGUGAGAUGUAAUGGAAAAAAACAUUGGAAUGUUCUUCAAGUUGAAGAGCUAUCUAAAGCUUAUGUCAACAAUAUCCACUAACCAAAGAAUCAGGCAGGCUUAUGGAUGUGGCUGUAGUCUUUCUACAAGCUUUGUCCUGUGGCAAAGGAUUGUCUUAGACUUGUGGUUGGAAGAGAGGUUUCCAGACCUAAUGUCAGGCUCUCAAUGGAUCAAACUCAGAUAGACCCAACCCAACUUCAUCGUUCACAACUGUGAAGGUGACAGUGUGCCAUACUCCUGACCUCACGUGGUAAGACAUAUGUUUUGCAGUAUUGAUCCAUCUACCCUCCUCACCUCCCAUUGGAAUCAAUGGCUAUGUUGUAAGGUAAUGUCAAAGGUUGACAGUCUUAACAACGGAACAAAAUAAACUGGUUGGAUAUAGAACUAACCUAUGAACUUUGGUCUCUUUAGCAGAAAACUCUGAUUAUGGAUUUAAUCAGGCUAAUGGUGUGGGAGUAGGAGUGGAAGCUGACCAAUGGGUGUUGUCAGAGAUGUCCUAUAGAAAUCAACAUAAAGAUGGUUGGAAAUUCUUGAGUGAGGACAUGACCACAUUCAGCGUUCUUUUUCACAAGACGUUUGAGAGACAUUUAACAUCAUACUUCCAAUGGUCACAAAUUGCUGCAAAUCACAACUCCCUUUGGCAAGAAAUUUUAAAGUUACUCCGUCUCAACAGAAGUUUGAUUCUAACGUAGUGCUUUAAGUUUUAUGCCUUGUUUAGAGUCUCCUCCUACCCCAUUUUUAGAAAAUUUAUUAUUGCACAUGAGCAAUCACACCCCUGGAGUUCAAUGAUAUGAAGAAGUUGUCAAACUUCAAGUGAAAUCCUUCGACUUUAAUGAAGUGGAUUUUCUCAUCUUCCUUCUUCUUCCCUCAAGAAAACUUCAAACUUUGGAACUCAGAGUGGAACCGAAGGGCCUUGGGUAAAUACGCACAUAGAUGAAAUGACAAUGUAGGCAGGCUGGCUCUGGAACAGACAAUCCUAAUGAUAUUGCUUCUGUGGGUUUUCCCUCUCUCCCUCCUGUUCAUUUCUUUCUGAGUAAUGUUUUGGGCCCAGUGGAAAAUGCGUGAUGUUUUCUGGUAGCUGAAAUGAGGUUAAAGUAAUGAAAUUCUGCCAACUAAAGUUUAGGAGGAAAAUGCUUAGUAGCUGCUGGGACACAGCCAGUCCCUGGGAAAGCAGUUGUGUAACCAGAAAAGGAACUCAGUGGCUUAGCCAGCAGUGAGUGUUUCUUGAGUGUAGGUCUCAGCACUUUGGUGGACUCUGGGAAGGGUCCUGUUUGAAAACUGGUCAGAAAUGAAUUUCCACUGGAUGGUAAACUCCAUGAGGGUAGAACUGAUAUUCUCUUUUGGCCAGGCUAUCCCUAAUGCCUAGACUACAAAUCUGUUCUUGGAAAAAUCAGUUGAGUGAGUCCCAAGGAGAGAAAUCUGAGUGAUAUGGCAGAUGCUUCUGAUGCCUGUGUCCUAGCCCCUCACCUGUCUCUGAAUGGGCAGUUCUAGACUCAUCUUGUGCUGUACAGUGUGCAAUGCUGGGCUAUGAAUCUUCCUGCCUUCUGUCUGGGCCCUCUCUGAGGUCACAGGAGUUUGCAUGGCCAUGCAGGGCAGACUAGAAGUAGGGUGACAUUAACACUCUUGGGGGAACACCCAGCCAAUGAGAGCUGGGAGCUCUUGGGCAAAUGUUGGUGGAUAAAGUCUUCUGUCUUUUAGGUGCACAACUGUGGGAGGCAUCCUAUUUGCCUGGAAGUGAUUCUCUGUUGCUCACGGCAGUGACCUUGGUAAUACACCCUCACGUUGGCUUUUCUUCCUUCCCUGUCUCAUUCUCCCUCCUCUCUCACUCCUGCUUCUGAACAUCACCUGCCAAAUAGGACACUUGCACCCUAGUCCUUGGCUCUCACUCUGCUUUGGAGGAAACCCAAACUUUAAGACAGGUGUGUGUUGCGGGAGGAGGGGUGUAAGAUUUGUUUUUCCAAGUGGGUUCUCCCAUGACUACAGUCUUGUUCAUGUUCCACCAUGAGCCACACUGUUGCCAUCUUAACUAUCAGGGAUUUAGAGCACUGGCCCUGGUCUGGCUGCCUGGGUUUAUGACGUGUAAGUUGUGUGACCCUGGGCAUGGUCCUUAAUCUUUUUGUGAUUAGUUUUCUUUUUCUGUAAAAUGAAGACAAUAACAUCACAUACCUACUAGAUUGGUUAUUGUAACUCAAUGAGAGCGUAUCUGUAAAGCUCUUGGCUCCAUGCUGACACACACUGAGUGCAAUCCAUGCUCGCUGCUGUUAGGACAGUCACUUCUCAUGGGAUGCUACUUUCAAUCUUCUGUAUACUGCAGCUCUCUGUGUAUACCUGUUAUCCCUAAUACUGAACUGUAAGCUUCUUAAGACUGGAACCUGUGGCUUUUCCAUCUUUGUGUGCCCACUGCACCUAGCAUUGUGACUUUCACAAAGCAGGCAUUCAAUGGCGUUAUAUGAAUGGAAGAACAUCCUUGCUAUUAUUGGCAAUGAUUUGAAUAGCAACUGCCUAUUCUCAGAACUUGGAAGUCUGGAAUCACUAUAGUGUCCUUCAGAAGCAAAGAUUGACUUCUUUGUCAUGGAUUUUUGAGUACACUUUCCCGAAAUAUCAUCAUUAUGAGAUUGCAUUUGUAAUUGGUUGAGUCAUUAAGAGCAGGAAUUUAUUUUUUCCUCUCUACAAGUGCUAUCUAAUAGAACUUUCCUUGGUGUUGAAAAUGCUUUCACAUGUGCCUAGUGGCUACUAUAUUGGCUCUUGAGUACUUGAAAUGUGACAAGUGUGACUGAGGAACUGAAUUUUAAAUUUUAUUUGAUUGUAAAUAAAUUAAAUUCAAAUGUAAAGAGCCACACCUGACUAGCAUCCGUAGUACUGGACAGUUCAGCGCUCUAUAGUUGGUGCCAUUAAAAGUGUGUUCAAUGAAAGAGUGAGUGAAUGUUAAACAAUUAACAUCUUUCCACAUCUACUCUCUUCUUUGCCCUUCACAUCUACCCUUUGAGGAAUCAUAGCAGAGCAAUUAUUAUUUUACAGAUGGUGAUGAUGAUGAUAGUACUAUUCAUUAUAGUCGUAUUCAUACUGCCACUAUUACUACUAACGAUAGCAACAACUGAUGGGAAUUGAGCGUUACUCCAGGACUGCCAAAACAAAAUGCCACCAACUGGGUGGCUUGAACAACAGAAAUUUAUUUUCUUACAGUUCUGGAGGCUGGAAGUUGGAGAUCAAGGUGUCAGCAGAUGAGGAAACUGAGAGAGAAGUUGAGUAACCUACAGCAAAUGAUGGAAUUUGAAUUUAGUGUAUUUGAUUGCAUAACCCACAAUUUUAACUACCACUUUAAUGGAACUCAUUUAUGAAUUGAAUAAACAUUUCUUGGGCAUAUCCUAUAUGCCAAACAUCCAGUGCUAGGGAUAUAAUGACAGGCAAAACACAGAUCUACUCUUGAGGAUCUCACGGCUUGGUAGUGACUUAUCCAGAAUUAGUCGGUAGCAGACCUGGGAUGAUAACCUAGGGCUUCAGUGACUGGCACAGUGUUCUUUGCUCUCCUCAAGCUGCGCUAUGGACCCACAGGUGAGUGUUAAACAUGCUCAGGCUAUUCUUGUUCCUCUUUUAACACUCCCUUCUCAGUCUUAGAGAUCAGCCCCUUUGUUGGCAGGAAACAUCUCAGCUCUUUAGCUUUGUUCCCAAAAGAGGCUCCCUAGGAGAUGAAGUGAAAGUGCACGUGAGGCUUAUCACUGGGAUUUGUUUCCUCCUACUCAUUCACCUUUGCUUUCUCCCCCUCACAAUACUCCUGCACAUGCGUGUGUUGCCAGGUAUAGUGGUCUCUGCACUCUGGGUUCUGUGAUGUCACCCAGGUGAGCAUGGUCAAGAUGCCUGCCAUGCGAUGCGAGAUGUAGGACUCCACCUGGGAUCCAUUUGAAAGGAUCCAGUGGAUCGGGUGGGGAGGGAAGGACUGAACCCAGCCGUCUCCAUGAAUUACUUGGCAGGAAAAGGAAGCAUCUCCUCCUGGAAGAAUUCCAUCCUUGUCCUCUGUGUUUAGCAGAAAGGGAAAGGGACCUGUCACUUAUUCAGCACUUACUCUGGAGUUCAUUAAUCCUCAUGACAAUCUUAUCAAGUAACUGUUAUGAUUGCCAUUUUGUACAUGGUGAAAGGAGGUUCAGAGAGAUGAAGAAGAUUGCUCAAGUUUGCACAGCUAGCAAUGGUGGUACUUACCAAUCUUCAUGGCUAUGCCCUGCCAUUUCCUUAGUGAACAUUUUCUACAGAGAAGCAAGGACACUUCAAAGAUGCUGAGAAUGUCAAUGGCUGUUUACUUAAUAGACUGUCGAGGUGAGAAGAAAAAAGAAGUGAUUGUUUGAUCCUUUAAAGGACAGCUUUAAUAGCCUCUGGCUUCCUGACUUCCAGGAGGUUUGUGGCUGUGUAAAGGACAAACACAGCCUGCAAGACUCAUCUUUUCCUGACUUUGUUUUUCAAAGUCCUCAGCCCAUGGAGGAGCUUAUGCUAGGUGUCCUGGGGAGUCUACUAGCAAAGGAGUUGGAAGACCACAGCGUAUACUCCAGCAUGGGUUGUUUCUCCAGGAAGCUGGCAGUCUUGGCUUCCUCAAUUGCAAGAUGGAGAUAGGGCUUUUGUUGGGAGGAUUAAAUAUGAUGAUCACCAAGAUGACUCUGAAGUCUGGCCUUGACUGGUAUCCUCUGGUCUUACCAUCUGCUCUGAUGACCUGAAUGGACGGUAGAUUCUACUGCUGUGCUUCUUCUACAGGUGAGAAAACAAAGGCCAUAGAAGGUGAAGUAACAGGGUCACAAAAAGCUUAAGUAACUUGUUCAAGAUCACAGAGCUAAAAAGUGACAGAGGCAAGAUUUGAAACCAGGAAGGCUGACAGAGCUCCUGCUCUCAACACCUGCGAUGGGACCUUGGGCACAUUUCUUCACUUUGCCGCAAUCAGCUCCUUCUUGGCCCUGAGAAGGGACCUCCUUCCACCUGGUCUGGGCUGGAGAAGCAGUGUCAGGACUGUCUGCAAUAUCAAGAGUGGCACCAGGCAUGCAGAGUUGCCGAUCAGCACUUCAUGGACACUUCUGAACUUAGAUUGUCUACUGAGUGGCCUGUGGCAAAAAAAAGAGGUUCUGAAUUCCCUUUGUUCUCCCCUUUUAUGUUGCCCAAAGGAAAACCAAAGCAAAAAACACCCUUUGAAGCUGUCUUCUAUAUGAAAAAAUAAACAGACCCCUUUGCAAUGAGAGCCUCGGAGCAGGAUUUCAGUAAAGCUGCCCUGAUUGCCAGUGCCCUGAUGAUGACUGCCCCAUGAAAGGAGGAUGGCUACAGAGCCUGCAGCCAGAGCCAACUCUUUACAUUUUUUUAUCCCAUUCACCAAAUUCUGUUCCUGACAAUUUCCAUUCUUUUAAGCCACACCAAUGAGAUUCUUUGAGCAUCCUUUACAUAAUAAAAAGUCAAUUAGUAUGCUAUUUCUUUCUUUCUUUUUUCUUUCUUUCAUUCUUUUUUUUUUUGGUGAGGAAUAUUGGCCCUAAGCUAACAUCUGUGCCAAUCUUCCUCUAUUUUGUAUAUGGGAUGCCACCACAGCAUGGCUUGAUGAGUGGUGUGUAGGUCCACACCCAGAAUCUGAACCCACAAACCCCAGGCCACCAAAGUGAAGCAUGUGAACUUAACCACUAUGCUACCAGGCUGGCCCCAAUAUGCUAACUAUUAAUAAGCUUGAUUCUUGUAUUCAGAAUGGCAAUGGCUGUGCUUUGAAUUGAUGGAGAGGGAGGUGUGUGUAGGAAAGGAACUGAUCUGGGAUAGUGAUCUUUGCAGCAUCCUCUGGGGUCCUCGUAGAAUUUUUCUUGCCCAUCCAUCCCCCUCCCUGACCCCCAACUCCUUUGAUGACAAGAGUGGUUUUGGCUGUUGUGGUCACUGGUUGCUUUGAAAUAAU